rnacentral:rRNA from 1 species
GACGAACGCUGGCGGCGUGCCUAAUACAUGCAAGUCGAGCGAAGUUUUUCUGGUGCUUGCACUAGAAAAACUUAGCGGCGAACGGGUGAGUAACACGUAAAGAACCUGCCUCAUAGACUGGGACAACUAUUGGAAACGAUAGCUAAUACCGGAUAACAGCAUUAACUGCAUGGUUGAUGUUUAAAAGUUGGUUUUGCUAACACUAUGAGAUGGCUUUGCGGUGCAUUAGCUAGUUGGUGGGGUAAAGGCCUACCAAGGCGACGAUGCAUAGCCGACCUGAGAGGGUGAUCGGCCACACUGGGACUGAGACACGGCCCAGACUCCUACGGGAGGCAGCAGUAGGGAAUCUUCCGCAAUGGGCGAAAGCCUGACGGAGCAACGCCGCGUGAGUGAAGAAGGAUUUCGGUUCGUAAAGCUCUGUUGUUAGGGAAGAAUGAUUGUGUAGUAACUAUACACAGUAGAGACGGUACCUAACCAGAAAGCCACGGCUAACUACGUGCCAGCAGCCGCGGUAAUACGUAGGUGGCAAGCGUUGUCCGGAAUUUAUUGGGCGUAAAGCGCGCGCAGGUGGUUUAAUAAGUCUGAUGUGAAAGCCCACGGCUCAACCGUGGAGGGUCAUUGGAAACUGUUAAACUUGAGUGCAGGAGAGAAAAAGUGGAAUUCCUAGUGUAGCGGGUGAAAUGCGUAGAGAUUAGGAGGAACACCAGUGGCGAAGGCGGGCUUUUUUGGGCCUGUAACUGACACUGAGGCGCGAAAGCGUGGGGAGCAAACAGG